CAAGCUUAUCGAUACCGUCCGACCUGCCCCAUGCACCGGAAUAGCUCCUGGAAACGGGUGGUAAUGCCGGAUGCUCCAUCACACUGCAUGGUGUGUUGGGAAAGCCUUUGCGGCAUGGGAUGGGGUCGCGUCCUAUCAGCUUGAUGGCGGGGUAACGGCCCACCAUGGCUUCGACGGGUAGCCGGCCUGAGAGGGCGACCGGCCACAUUGGGACUGAGAUACGGCCCAGACUCCUACGGGAGGCAGCAGUGGGGAAUAUUGCACAAUGGGCGCAAGCCUGAUGCAGCGACGCCGCGUGCGGGAUGACGGCCUUCGGGUUGUAAACCGCUUUUGAUCGGGAGCAAGCCUUCGGGUGAGUGUACCUUUCGAAUAAGCACCGGCUAACUACGUGCCAGCAGCCGCGGUAAUACGUAGGGUGCAAGCGUUAUCCGGAAUUAUUGGGCGUAAAGGGCUCGUAGGCGGUUCGUCGCGUCCGGUGUGAAAGUCCAUCGCUUAACGGUGGAUCUGCGCCGGGUACGGGCGGGCUGGAGUGCGGUAGGGGAGACUGGAAUUCCCGGUGUAACGGUGGAAUGUGUAGAUAUCGGGAAGAACACCAAUGGCGAAGGCAGGUCUCUGGGCCGUUACUGACGCUGAGGAGCGAAAGCGUGGGGAGCGAACAGGAUUAGAUACCCUGGUAGUCCACGCCGUAAACGGUGGAUGCUGGAUGUGGGGCCCGUUCCACGGGUUCCGUGUCGGAGCUAACGCGUUAAGCAUCCCGCCUGGGACGGUAUCGAUAAGCUUGAUUAAGCUUAUCGAUACCGUCCGGGGGCCCGCACAAGCGGCGGAGCAUGCGGAUUAAUUCGAUGCAACGCGAAGAACCUUACCUGGGCUUGACAUGUUCCCGACCGCUCCAGAGAUGGGGCUUCCCUUCGGGGCGGGUUCACAGGUGGUGCAUGGUCGUCGUCAGCUCGUGUCGUGAGAUGUUGGGUUAAGUCCCGCAACGAGCGCAACCCUUGCCCUAUGUUGCCAGCACGUGAUGGUGGACCUCGAGGGGGGG
rnacentral:rRNA from 1 species